UACAGAGGUCCCGAGCGUUGUUCGGAUUCAUUGGGCGUAAAGGGUGCGUAGGUGGCGCCGUAAGUGGGGUGUGAAAUCCCGGGGCUUAACCCCGGGACUGCAUUCCAUACUGCGGUGCUUGAGGACUGGAGAGGAGACUGGAAUUUACGGUGUAGCAGUGAAAUGCGUAGAUAUCUGGAGGAACACCGGUGGCGAAGGCGGC
rnacentral:rRNA from 1 species